UUYUUUYUGAGAUCAUUGCAAGUAACUCCUGCUCAAUGAACAUUUAAAUAGCCGCGGAAAUUUAACUGUGCUAAGGUAGCAUAAUCAUUAGCCUCUUAAUUAGAGGCUUGUAUGAAUGGCGAAACAAUUCAAUUUCUUUCUUUUUUAUUUUUUUUGAAUCUUAAAUAAGAAUAAAAAUGUUCUUAUAAAACAAAUAGACGAUAAGACCCUUUUGAACUUCACUUUAGUUUAGCUGGGGCAGCUAAAAAAUAAUAAUCUUUUUUUUUUUUAUUUCAUUAGAUGACCCAAUAUAAUUGAUUUAACGAACAAGUUACCAUAGGGAUAACAGCGUAAUGUCUUUUUAAAGCUCUUAUUUAAAAGGAAGAUUGCGACCYCGAUGUUGAAUUAGKGUUACUUUAAUAAAGCAGCAAUUUUAUAAGKGAGCCUGUUCGGCUCAUAAAACACUACAU
rnacentral:rRNA from 1 species